rnacentral:tmRNA from 1 species
GGGGCUGACUGGAUUUGACAGCGGAACGAGCUGGUGAGUAAGCAUGCAGUGCGGACGGUGGCGGGCACUUAAAUCUCGGCUAUCAACAAUUUAUCUGGCGAAAACAACUUCGCUCUCGCAGCCUAAUCGAAGUAUAGUAGAUUAGCUUUAUCCCUUCGCAAGGCGUUGGGACGAGACAUCACUCAGAAGCUCUCUCUCCUUGGCGUUCUGGUAUAGUGGUGUAGCAAGUAGGAGAUAGAUGUUUGUGGCCUUGCACAUUCAUUGAAGCUUUUAGAGGAUAAGGUUAUGGAUAGGCCGCUUCUGCUCAAACAUAACUCGAAAAUUUAAUAGGAAGCUAAGCAUGUAGAAAGCUUAUUAUCUCUCCGUUUGGACGAGGGUUCAAUCCCCUCCAGCUCCACUA